rnacentral:lncRNA from 1 species
UCUUGGUCCUGUGAGGGCUUGAAAACAGGAAGAUUAAAUGGGGAGGCCAAGGUUAUGGUAUGGAGGUGAGAAUGGGAGCCAUGAACUCAGAUGAUUUCCUACUGUUCAGCCGAGCACCGCAUUAAACCAAGAAUGGUGGAUACACCUUCAACUCCAGCCUUGGAGAAGUGGAGGCAGGAGGAUCAGAAGUUGAAGCUCCAUGCCAUCCUUGGCUACGUAGGCAGCCCCACAGGAAAAAAUUAUCUGCAAAUGGUGACACAGCACAUUCCAAAGACAAUGGUACAGUAGCCGGAAAGGCAGCUUUAGCCAAAGCUUAAAGGCUCUUGUUUGGUGGCAGUGAAGGGCGCAUCUGAGGGAUGGCUCUGGGCUCAACCGAGAACCAAAUCCCCUUCUUGGACACCUCUAUUUGGAAAUUAGCUGUGGUGACUUUGUGGCAUCAUAAUAUUUGUAAACACUGCCACCUGCUGGAAGUUCUGUAGACCUGCACACAAUUUAAACUAGCGCUCCCUACACAACUCUUUUUCUUUCCCCCUUUCUUCCUGCUCUUAUUGUGCAGUACAGGAAAUCUAACCAAGGGCAUGCUGGGUAUUCGCUCUACCCCCGGGACUACAACCCUGCUCUUC